rnacentral:rRNA from 1 species
AGUGAACGCUGGCGGUAGGCCUAACACAUGCAAGUCGAACGGCAGCACAGUAAGAGCUUGCUCUUACGGGUGGCGAGUGGCGGACGGGUGAGGAAUACAUCGGAAUCUACUUUUUCGUGGGGGAUAACGUAGGGAAACUUACGCUAAUACCGCAUACGACCUACGGGUGAAAGCAGGGGAUCUUCGGACCUUGCGCGAUUGAAUGAGCCGAUGUCGGAUUAGCUAGUUGGCGGGGUAAAGGCCCACCAAGGCGACGAUCCGUAGCUGGUCUGAGAGGAUGAUCAGGCCCACUGGAACUGAGAACAGGUCCCGGACCCUAAGGGAAGGAGGCGUGGGGAAAAUUUGGACAUGGGGGGCAGGCCGGUUCCGGCCUUCCGGGUUGGUGGAAGAAGGCCUCGGGGUUGAAAGCCCCUUUUGUUGGGAAAAAAAGGAGGCAGUUAAUUACCCGGUGGUCUGACGGUACCCAAAGAAUAAGCACCGGCUAACUUCGUG